ACCUUUACCUAGUGAAAGUAUAUUUUCAUCUGAAAGGUAUAGUGGUAGCUACAAAGCUUUGAACCAAAUCCUUUGGUUCAGAUUUCUAUAUACUUCACCCAUAACAAAUGCAAAUACUGGGUUCAUCAUAGGUGGUGCUUUUUCUGGCCUUAUGCACCAAUAUCUCAGUUUCAUGAGUGCUCUAGGGGUUAAACCCUUAUCCCCAUAGAUUGCGGCCACACAAUCACACUCACAUAGGUGAGUCUUCCAAGGGUGCUCGCAGCACAGCACCUUGCCAUAGACUCGGACUCAUUCAGAGUUUUAAACUCUUCCGUAUACCUCUGCUGUAUUUAGCACUCACAUCACAGGGAGAGACCAAAUGACAUAAAGUCAUUUUAUAAUAGUGCUAACUAAUCAUUAAACAACUUGUUUUUCCCGUUGAACCUUUC
rnacentral:lncRNA from 1 species